GGUGGCCGCGGUUGUAGCCGGUGAUGACUAUGAUCCAGUCCCGCUGGAUGGCAAUGGUCAGCGCAGUGCUUGCAAGGUUUGCCACAUCUGCCAGGACGAUCACCACCGUAUAACAAACCACCUUGUGAGAUGAUUCUUACCCACAUUGACAACGCUCCACUGACAUAGAUGAGGAACUUGGGACCCUUGAGAUGAGCUCACCUGGUAUGCUCCUGGCUUUCUUGGCUCUCGCAUUCCUGAUGUCAUCAGGCUCAAACUCGACCACAACGCCACCACACUGGGAGGACUCGGCUCGCUGGGACAUUGCCUGUGGAAGACGUUAAACUGGUCAUUUCUCAUCAGCCCCAAAGAAGUAGUAAGUCAUUAAAUGUGGACAUUUUUUGUAACAUCUGGUUGACAGUCAUAUUCUACAUAUCCUACCUCUAUCUUGUGUUUCACAUUGUCAACAAUACAUCAUCACUAAUAGCUCCUGUACGUCACAUUGUGAAGCAGGAAACAAACGAGUUGUUUUCCAAUGGGACUCGGUCAAACAAAUGCAGCCUUAAGCUCUUAUAAAGUCAGGUAAGUGAGUCACCUCGUUUCCGGU